GGUAACGCCGUGCCGGCGGCGGGGGGAAUACGGAGGUUGCAAGCGUUAUCCUGAUUUAUUGGGUGUAAAGGGUCCGUAGGCGGACUUGUAAGUCAGUGGUGAAAUCUCAUAGCUUAACUAUGAAACUGCCAUUGAUACUGCAGGUCUUGAGUAAAUUUGAAGUGGCUGGAAUAAGUAGUGUAGCGGUGAAAUGCAUAGAUAUUACUUAGAACACCAAUUGCGAAGGCAGGUCACUAAGAUUUAACUGACGCUGAUGGACGAAAGCGUGGGUAGCGAACAGGAUUAGAUACCCGAGUAGUC
rnacentral:rRNA from 1 species